CUAAUACUGACGCUGAGGUACGAAAGCAUGGGGAGCAAACAGGAUUAGAUACCCUGGUAGUCCAUGCCGUAAACGAUGUCUACUAGCCGUUGGGGCCUUUGAGGCUUUAGUGGCGCAGCUAACGCGAUAAAGUAGACCGCCUGGGGAGUACGGUCGCAAGACUAAAACUCAAAUGAAUUGACGGGGGCCCGCACAAGCGGUGGAGCAUGUGGUUUAAUUCGAUGCAACGCGAAGAACCUUACCUGGCCUUGACAUACUAGAAACUUUCCAGAGAUGGAUUGGUGCCUUCGGGAAUCUAGAUACAGGUGCUGCAUGGCUGUCGUCAGCUCGUGUCGUGAGAUGUUGGGGUUAAGUCCCGCAACGAGCGCAACCCUUUUCCUUACUUGCCAGCAUUUCGGAUGGGAACUUUAAGGAUACUGCCAGUGACAAACUGGAGGAAG
rnacentral:rRNA from 1 species